rnacentral:rRNA from 1 species
UACGAAGGGGGCUAGCGUUGCUCGGAAUCACUGGGCGUAAAGCGCACGUAGGCGGCUUUUUAAGUCAGGGGUGAAAUCCUGGAGCUCAACUCCAGAACUGCCUUUGAUACUGAGGAUCUUGAGUCCGGAAGAGGUGAGUGGAACUGCGAGUGUAGAGGUGAAAUUCGUAGAUAUUCGCAAGAACACCAGUGGCGAAGGCGGCUCACUGGCCCGGUACUGACGCUGAGGCGCGAAAGCGUGGGGAGCAAACAGG